rnacentral:lncRNA from 1 species
UUAUCAAGUGAGCCAUAAAGAUAGGCGGUAACCACAUCCAUUAAAUGAAUGUCAAGCUUUACAAGGACAGCAAAACUAAUGAGAUAAAGGAAAGUUAUAGCAUCCAUUACGGGUGAAUAUGUCUCUUCAUAAUCGACACCAGGCCUUUGAGAAAAUCCUUGUGCAACAACGCGUGCCUUAUAUCUUUGUACCUUGUUUUUCUCAUUUCUCUUGCGUACAAAGACCCAUCUAUAGCCAACAGGCUUAACACCAUUAGGUGUUUCAACUAUUUGUGCAACAAGGCGUGCCUUAUAUCUUUGUACCUCGUUUUUCUCAUUUCUCUUGCGUACAAAAACCCAUUUAUAGCUAACAGGCUUAACACCAUUAGGUGUUUGAACUAUAGGCCCAAAAACUUCACGUUUUGCUAGUGAAUUUAAUUCUGAUUGGAUUGCUUCUUGUCAGUUUGGCCAAUCAAGUCUUUGUCGACAUUCUCCAACAGAUUGAGGUUCAAGAUCCUCACUUUCUUGCAUAAUGCUAGAUGCAACAUUAUAUGCAAAG